rnacentral:misc_RNA from 1 species
GUAAUGGGGCCUCUAAAAACUUAUAAAUAACGGCCAUUAUGUAUAUUUAAAACCAUGUUUGCAUGUAGCUGGGUUAAUAUUUGAAUGCUAGAAUAGUCAUCCGAAUGCAUGUCACGUUUUAUUUGGGGUUUCUCAAUGCUUCAGUUUGCUGGUAAUCUAUAACUUAUCUCAUUAGUUUGAGAUUCACAUUUUCACUCCUUCCUUCCUGACUUCCUACAAUUUUUUCAUUUAAGUGGCAAUUUAUAGAUGUACUUAUCUGAAUUGCUUCCUUGGUUAUAUUGUUGGCAAGUACAUCUUGACUGACAAUUAGCCUUUCUGACCCUGAAGCAAG